UGAAGGAUGUUGAGCAGCAUCCUUGGAUAACUCAGUAGAUGACAGUAGUUCCCUCUCUCUCAGUUGCAAAAACCCAAAGUGUCUCUAGACAUUGCCAACUAUUCUCUGGUGGGCCAUACUGUGCCCAGUUGAGAAUCAUUGUUUUUUUUCCUUUGUUUAGAUUCAUGUAAGGUUUUUGUAAAAGGAUGUGUGCAAAAAUAAUCUUAUCCCCUAUUGUUUGGGAUUUGAACACCCUAUUACACUUCUUCAACCUUGUCAGUCCCCAAUUCUUUUACCUCUUGCACACUGGCCAGUCCUUGUCUGAUGUCAUCUCUCUCUCAUAAUAAUUUGCCAAAAAGUGGUAUGGAGCUGCAAAUGUAUAAUGACAUUCUAGCUUUUUUUUAGCUGCUUCUCUUGGAGCUGUAGGCAUGAUAAGCAUAUGAUUAAUCUUCCAAAUUAUCACAGGAGACACUGUUACCAAAAGUUUUGCUGCAGCAGAACAAGAGUCACCAGAGUUUGAAUGUCAAGAAAAAAAAAAGAUUUUGGAAUGGAGAAACAGCUACUGGACAGAUGCAAGAGUUUGUAAAAUAUGCCAACUAAUAAGCAUGUUGUGAAUGUUACAACUUCAACAGUCCUGAAGUGGCUGAUUCCUGUGACAA